rnacentral:rRNA from 1 species
UACAGAGGGUGCGAGCGUUGUUCGGAAUUAUUGGGCGUAAAGAGCGCGUAGGCGGUUUGCUAAGUCUGGUGUGAAAGCCCUCGGCUUAACUGAGGAAGUGCAUUGGAUACUGGCAGGCUUGAGUGUGAGAGAGGAGAGUGGAAUUCCUGGUGUAGCGGUGAAAUGCGUAGAUAUCAGGAGGAACACCGGUGGCGAAGGCGGCUCUCUGGAUCAUAACUGACGCUGAGGCGCGAAAGCGUGGGUAGCAAACAGG